rnacentral:lncRNA from 1 species
UAUCAGUCUCGGUGCUAAUGUUGAUUUGAGGUAAAAGCUAGUUAUUUCUUUGAAUUGUGGUGGAGUUUUGGUUCAGUAGUCUGGGCGUGGCCAGCCAGAGCAGCUCUGCGCUCCAAGGUCCUGUGGUGGUGAACGUCUCGCCUCACCAGAGGUGGACUGUCGAUGGAUGCCAAGAUGCCAGCUUUCAAACACCAGGUCCCAGAAUCAAUGUGUCUCCGGAAUGGCGCGACAGAAAGUUCGGCCCGCCUACGAGCUGCUGUCUGCUUCGUGCGGUCUGGCCGCACAGACGUACUCGGUACAUGCCCGGAAAUGAGAAAGAUACAGCCUUCCUCUUCAACAUUGACAGCGGCAUGGACGUCCUCAACAGCGGCCAUCCGAGGGACGCCAAAACACUGCGGAGAGGCUACUCCGGCACUCCCGGGCAGGAGGACGCCCUCUCUAAGCUGGUGGAAGAGGUGGAGAGAUUGCAAUUCGGCUCAGCUGGUCACCUCCCGUUCCAGAAGGGUCUAGUAGUGACAGUGAAGGUGGAGCGGGGUCUGCUCGCUGACGUGCAGCGGCGUUUUGGCCCGGACUGCUAGCUGCUGCUCCGCCACGUCACCCAGAACCGGCUUUAGGGCUCGUUCAGUCACAUCCACGGCUCUGGCGGCGGAAGCCCCAACCCCACGACGACAGAGGUGAAGGGGCGCCUCCGCCUGUUCACUCUGAUCCAGCUUGCGCGUCACGGGCCCACGAGUCGCUCACCCGCGGCGCUCCCGGUACCAGCGGCGGAGGUGGAGGCGGGGGGAGAGCCGGAGGCAGACGAGGACCAAGCCGACCAGGCGCAGAUGGUGUGCUGGAGGCGGUAUGCCCUGAGCCACCCCAAGAAGUUCAGUACCUGAGGGGACGGAGAGCCUGGAGCCCGUUCCUGACGAGCCAGCCCCGGACGCAGAGGAGGAGGCGGAGCAGGAGAGGGCGCAGCUACUGCGGGAGGCCGAGACAGUGCAUAUACCGCCUGCGCCCUCAGCGGCGCUGGACGCUGAGACUGGUGUGCCGGCCACCGAAGGUGCAAUGGCGCGUCUGGCCGGCUACAUCGCCAGAAAAUGCGGCCCCAGCUUCGGCGCGCUAGCGAUGGCAUCUGAGGACGCGCCAGUUCAGACGCUCUGGACUCGACUGCGCAGUGCGGCCGGCGGACUCACGAUCCCCUCCCAGUCCUGCUUAGACCUGUUUAAUCAGCUCGAGGCGGAGUUCAUAUAUGUUUCACGUGUUCGCUGAAGUGCCUUGAAAAUGCUCAAAUGUGUGCCAUUCGUGAUUUGCCUGAUGAUGCAGUACAAGUACUGUGAAACGCGUUGCAGUUAAUAUAGCUGAUGAUAUGUAAAUGCAGUCUACAUCCAUAUCGUGCUCAAAUAAUGUAGCGCACAAGCUACCCUGAGGGAGUACCCUGGUAUGCUGAGUAUGUUUUCGUAGUGUUACAAAGCGUACCGUCGGACAGAAUGGAGCUAUGCUGCUGUGACAUUCAUCGAACCUCCCGUUUGAUAUUGGUUGCAUACUGUGCAUGUGUGCACUUUCACAUAUCGUGUUAUCUGAAAUUGAAUCGACCUAUGCCGCUGUGCCGCUGCCUAGGUUGCCGGCGACAGCGGCGGGGCGCAUCUGAUCGGCACAAUGUUACAGAUCAGGAUCCGUCCUGUCUGGAGGUAGUCGGACCGGUGUUUGUCUAGCCAGAUGUACUCCAUCGUAUCACUGAUGUUCAUCUGUAAGGCUGUGCUCUUGCCUAAUGCUGCUUCCAUCCAUUCAGUCAGUUUUGAAUUGUAAUAGAGGAAGCCAGAUGUCAUAGAUGUCUUCGUUUAAGGGAUUGUUUUCGCAUGUCAUGCAUCGGAAAUACAAUCAAAAUAGAAUUAA